rnacentral:rRNA from 1 species
AGAGUUUGAUCAUGGCUCAGAACGAACGCUGGCGGCAGGCCUAACACAUGCAAGUCGAGCGCCCGCAAGGGAGCGGCAGACGGGUGAGUAACGCGUGGGAACGUGCCCUUUGGUUCGGAAUAUUCCCGGGAAACUGGGAGCAAAACCGGAUAAGCCCUUCGGGGGAAAGUUUACGCCAAAGGAUCGGCCCGCGUUAGAUUAGGUAGUUGGUGGGGUAACGGCCUACCAAGCCUACGAUCUAUAGCUGAUCUGAGAGGAUGAUCAGCCACACUGGGACUGAGACACGGCCCAGACUCCUACGGGAGGCAGCAGUGGGGAAUCUUGGACAAUGGGCGCAAGCCUGAUCCAGCCAUGCCGCGUGGAUGACUGAAGGCCCUAGGGUUGUAAAGUCCUUUCGACGGGGACGAUAAUGACGGUACCCGUAGAAGAAGCCCCGGCUAACUUCGUGCCAGCAGCCGCGGUAAUACGAAGGGGGCUAGCGUUGUUCGGAUUUACUGGGCGUAAAGGGCGCGUAGGCGGAUUUUCAAGUCGGGGGUGAAAUCCCGGAGCUCAACUCCGGAACUGCCUUCGAUACUGGAAGUCUGGAGCACGGUAGAGGUGAGUGGAAUUCCGAGUGUAGAGGUGAAAUUCGUAGAUAUUCGGAGGAACACCAGUGGCGAAGGCGGCUCACUGGACCGUUGCUGACGCUGAGGCGCGAAAGCGUGGGGAGCAAACAGGAUUAGAUACCCCGGUAGU